AUACGGAGGGUGCAAGCGUUACUCGGAAUCACUGGGCGUAAAGCGCGCGCAGGCGGCUUGAUAAGUUGGAUGUGAAAGCCUACGGCUCAACCGUAGAACUGCAUCCAAAACUGUCAAGCUAGAGUCUGGGAGGGGAAGAUGGAAUUAGUUGUGUAGGGGUAAAAUCCGUAGAGAUAACUAGGAAUACCAAAAGCGAAGGCGAUCUUCUGGAACAGUACUGACGCUGAGGCGCGAAAGCGUGGGGAGCAAACCGGAUUAGAUACCCUAGUAGUCC
rnacentral:rRNA from 1 species